rnacentral:rRNA from 1 species
UACGUAGGGUGCGAGCGUUGUCCGGAAUUAUUGGGCGUAAAGAGCUCGUAGGCGGUUUGCUGCGCCUGCUGUGAAAACCUGGGGCUUAACUUCGGGAUUGCAGUGGGUACGGGCAGACUAGAGUGUGGUAGGGGUAAUUGGAAUUCCUGGUGUAGCGGUGGAAUGCGCAGAUAUCAGGAGGAACACCGAUGGCGAAGGCAGGUCUCUGGGAAGUUACUGACGCUGAGGAGCGAAAGCAUGGGUAGCGAACAGGAUUAGAUACCCCCGUAGU